GUGCCAGCCGCCGCGGUAAUACGAAGGUCCCAAGCGUUAUCCGGAUUUAUUGGGUUUAAAGGGUGCGUAGGCGGCUUACUAAGUCAGUGGUGAAAGCCCGAAGCUUAACUUCGGAACUGCCAUUGAUACUGAUAAGCUUGAGUACAUUUGAAGUGGGCGGAAUGUGUUGUGUAGCGGUGAAAUGCUUAGAUAUGACACAGAACACCGAUUGCGUAGGCAGCUCACUAAACUGUCACUGACGCUGAGGCACGAAAGCGUGGGGAUCAAACAGGAUUAGAUACCCCCGUAGUCC
rnacentral:rRNA from 1 species